GUGCUGUAUGAAAGGAGAUAAGGUUAGCACUCCCCUUGACAAGGAUGGAAUUGGCUCUUGUGGCCUGCAACACACAUACGGUUAAAGCAUUGAAACCUGCUUCGUGGCAUCUCUGAUCACGCUUUUCG
rnacentral:ncRNA from 1 species